GGGCACAUGGUGUAGUUGGUUAUCACGCUCGCUUAGCAGUUGGAUCAACAGGGAACAACAUGUUUGCGAGAGGUGUUGGGUUCAAUUCCCAAUGUGUCCA